UACGGGGGGAGCAAGCGUUGUUCGGAUUUACUGGGCGUAAAGGGCGCGCAGGCGGCCAUUCAAGUCAGGCGUGAAAGCCCCGGGCUUAACCUGGGAGGUGCGCUUGGGACUGGAUAGCUAGAGAUCGGGAGAGGAGAGUGGAAUUCCCAGUGUAGAGGUGAAAUUCGUAGAUAUUGGGAAGAACACCGGUGGCGAAGGCGGCUCUCUGGACCGAUACUGACGCUGAGGCGCGAAAGCGUGGGGAGCAAACAGG
rnacentral:rRNA from 1 species